rnacentral:rRNA from 1 species
AGGUCCUACGGGACGCAGCAGUGGGGAAUAUUGCACAAUGGGGGAAACCCUGAUGCAGCGACGCCGCGUGAGUGAAGAAGUAUUUCGGUAUGUAAAGCUCUAUCAGCAGGGAAGAUAAUGACGGUACCUGACUAAGAAGCCCCGGCUAACUACGUGCCAGCAGCCGCGGUAAUACGUAGGGGGCAAGCGUUAUCCGGAUUUACUGGGUGUAAAGGGAGCGUAGACGGCAUAGCAAGUCUGAAGUGAAAGCCCAAGGCUCAACCAUGGGACUGCUUUGGAAACUGUUAAG